rnacentral:rRNA from 1 species
CUCCUUUGACGUUAGCGGCGGACGGGUGAGUAACACGUGGGUAACCUACCUAUAANACUGGGAUAACUUCGGGAAACCGGAGCUAAUACCGGAUAAUAUUUCGAACCGCAUGGUUCGAUAGUGAAAGGUGGUUUUGCUAUCACUUAUAGAUGGACCCGCGCCGUAUUAGCUAGUUGGUAAGGUAACGGCUUACCAAGGCGACGAUACGUAGCCGACCUGAGAGGGUGAUCGGCCACACUGGAACUGAGACACGGUCCAGACUCCUACGGGAGGCAGCAGC